UGGAAUUUCUCUGAAUGGGCUUUGGCUUAAGGGAAUGUUGUGGCUGAUCUGGUCUUCUAUCCAGACCACUAAAACUUCCUCCAUAUCAACAAUAAAGCUGUUUCACUUUCUCAUCAUUUGUGUGUUCAGUGGAGUAGCACUUUUAAUUCCCUUCAAGAACUUUUUCUUUCCACUCACAACUCAGCUAAGUGUUUGGUACAAGAGACCCAGCUUUUAGCCUCUCUCAGCUUUCAAUAUAGCUUCCUCAUUAAAUGUAAUCAUUUCUAGUUUUUAAUUGAAAAUUGAGACUUAUGCAACUUUUCCUU